rnacentral:misc_RNA from 1 species
AACGCACAUUGCGCCCUUUGGUAUUCCGAAGGGCAUGCCUGUUCGAGCGUCAUUAUAACCACUCAAGCCUUUGCUUGGUAUUGGGGUUCCCAGAUUUGGGGCCCUUAAAACUAGUGGCGGUGCUGGUAAGCUCUACGCGUAGUAAUACUUUUCGCGAUUGAGUCUUGCUGGUGGCUAGCCAACCACCCCCAAUUUUUACAGGUUGACCUCGGAUCAGGUAGGGAUACCCGCUGAACUUAA